rnacentral:rRNA from 1 species
UACGUAGGGGGCAAGCGUUGUCCGGAUUUAUUGGGCGUAAAGAGCGUGUAGGCGGCCAGAUAGGUCGGUUGUGAAAACUGGAGGCUCAACCUCCAGACGUCUACCGAAACCCUCUGGCUAGAGUCCGGAAGAGGAGAAUGGAAUUCCUGGUGUAGCGGUGAAAUGCGCAGAUAUCAGGAAGAACACCCGUGGCGAAGGCGGUUCUCUGGGACGGUACUGACGCUGAGACGCGAAAGCGUGGGGAGCGAACAGG